AGAGUUUGAUCCUGGCUCAGAUUGAACGCUGGCGGAAUGCUUUACACAUGCAAGUCGAGCGGCAGCGCGGGGCAACCUGGCGGCGAGCGGCGAACGGGUGAGUAACACAUCGGAACAUACCCAGUCGUGGGGGAUAACACUUCGAAAGAAGUGCUAAUACCGCAUACGUCCUGAGGGAGAAAGCGGGGGAUCUUCGGACCUCGCGCGAUUGGAGUGGCCGAUGUCAGAUUAGCUAGUUGGUGGGGUAAAGGCCUACCAAGGCGACGAUCUGUAGCUGGUCUGAGAGGACGACCAGCCACACUGGGACUGAGACACGGCCCAGACUCCUACGGGAGGCAGCAGUGGGGAAUUUUGGACAAUGGGGGCAACCCUGAUCCAGCCAUUCCGCGUGAGUGAAGAAGGCCUUCGGGUUGUAAAGCUCUUUCGGCAGGAACGAAACGGCGCGCUCUAACAUAGCGCGUUAAUGACGGUACCUGAAGAAGAAGCACCGGCUAACUACGUGCCAGCAGCCGCGGUAAUACGUAGGGUGCGAGCGUUAAUCGGAAUUACUGGGCGUAAAGCGUGCGCAGGCGGUUGUGUAAGACAGGUGUGAAAUCCCCGGGCUUAACCUGGGAACUGCGCUUGUGACUGCACGGCUAGAGUAUGGCAGAGGGGGGUGGAAUUCCACGUGUAGCAGUGAAAUGCGUAGAGAUGUGGAGGAACACCGAUGGCGAAGGCAGCCCCCUGGGCCAAUACUGACGCUCAUGCACGAAAGCGUGGGGAGCAGACAGGAUUAGAUACCCUGGUAGUCC
rnacentral:rRNA from 1 species